rnacentral:lncRNA from 1 species
GCCAUGUUUGUUUGUUUCUGCUUAUUCAAAAUAGUUUAUAGCUUAUUCUUAGGGUCUGUUCAACAAUGACUUAUUUUACAAUGACUUAGAGAUGGCAAAUAUGGAAGAGGCUAUGAUGAUGAUGAAUCAAUUUUUCUGGGUUAAAUCGGGCAGUGAGAGAAUGUGACCUGUAUCUUGGCGGGGCUACCCGGAGGGUAUGUGAGAGAUUUGAUUGGGUUAUUAUUCCUCUCUCAUGCAACUGUUGGUUGCAGUCAUGGCGGUGUCACCCUCUUGCCUAAUAUAUUACAGAUCUGAG